rnacentral:rRNA from 1 species
CCUACGGGAGGCAGCAGUGGGGAAUUUUGCGCAAUGCUCGUAAGAGUGACGCAGCGACGCCGCGUGAAUGACGAAGGCCUUCGGGUCGUAAAGUUCUUUCGACAGGGAAGAAAAUGCAUAUACGUAACUGUGUAUGUAUUGACGGUACCUGUAUAAGCAGCCCCGGCUAACUCCGUGCCAGCAGCCGCGGUAAUACGGAGGGGGCGAGCGUUGUUUGGAGUGGCUGGGCGUAAAGAGCACGUGGGCGGGGUUGUAAGUCAUUAGUCAAAGACUAGAGCUCAACUUUAGUAAGGCUAGUGAUACUAUAAUACUAGAGUAUGAGAGAGGAUUGCAGAAUGCCUGGUGUAGCGGUGAAAUGCGUAGAUAUCAGGAGGAAUACUGAUAGCGAAGGCGGCAAACUGGCUGGAAACUGACGCUGAGGUGCGAAAGCGUGGGUAGCAAACAGGAUUAGAUACCCCUGUAGUC